GAUUAAGUUAUUAAGGGCGCACGGUGGAUGCCUUGGCACUAGAAGCCGAUGAAGGACGUUACUAACGACGAUAUGCUUUGGGGAGCUGUAAGUAAGCUUUGAUCCAGAGAUUUCCGAAUGGGGAAACCCAGCAUGAGUUAUGUCAUGUUAUCGAUAUGUGAAUACAUAGCAUAUCAGAAGGCACACCCGGAGAACUGAAACAUCUUAGUACCCGGAGGAAGAGAAAGAAAAUUCGAUUCCCUUAGUAGCGGCGAGCGAAACGGGAAGAGCCCAAACCAACAAGCUUGCUUGUUGGGGUUGUAGGACACUCUAUACGGAGUUACAAAGGACGACAUUAGACGAAUCAUCUGGAAAGAUGAAUCAAAGAAGGUAAUAAUCCUGUAGUCGAAAAUGUUGUCUCUCUUGAGUGGAUCCUGAGUACGACGGAGCACGUGAAAUUCCGUCGGAAUCUGGGAGGACCAUCUCCUAAGGCUAAAUACUCUCUAGUGACCGAUAGUGAACCAGUACCGUGAGGGAAAGGUGAAAAGCACCCCGGAAGGGGAGUGAAAUAGAACCUGAAACCGUGUGCUUA
rnacentral:rRNA from 1 species